ACACAGCAUAGUUUCGUUCUGUCUGUCGGCGAGGGUACACGCGUUCGUCGUUUGCUGGCGCUCAAGUCUUUCGUUUCUGCUCGCUUGUCCGUCUACGAUCGGCUGACAUUUACUGGAGAAAAAGAUUCUUUCUCAAGCGUUCAAACAAUACCUCACUUAACGUGUGUGAUCACACCCAACACACUCGGUAACCAUCAUGGGCAAGGUCGUGGUACUAGUUCUCAGCAUCAUUAUCGGUCUAGCUACCCAGCAGGCGAUGGCAAAGGAAAAACACAUCAAGUACACCGAAAAAGAUCUGCUACGAAAGUCGAUCGUGUACGACAAAAACACGCCCGAUGUCUUCUACUGCCCCGUGAACAAACCCACCGGAAUGGAUAAGAUGAUCGUGAGGUCUCGUCCACUACACAAGCUCUGCGAGCAUGAGGGAAAACCGCUACCAGCGCAUUACAAAUCUGACUGCUACAAUGAUGUCGAUGAGUCGAACUACGCAUGCAAGGAGAAGUAUAGAAUAAUGAAACGUUUCGCCAAAGAUAAUGUUGAGAUCUAAACAGACAUCCUCGGUCAUAUGAUCUCCGACAUCGAAUUUCUCGUGCGAGCGAUUACAAUGACUUAACGUUCUGACUUUACUUGUGCUACUGAAAUUUUACUAGAAAUUGUUACAAACUGCAUAGAACUUUAGAACGAUUUUUAUACUUAAUUUCUUUCUUUGAAUUCUAUCCUUUCCAAUUCCUGCCAUAGAACGUAUCCCCUUUUGGAGUACGAUUGUCUAGACUUAUCAUUAACAGUUGCUUCCAUCGUGUUCUUCUAAUCUUUACUUGGCCGAGUCCAAGUUGUGUUUUAGCCUACUUUUAACCAUUUACACAUUAAUACCAAAUCAUAAAGUAAGACGACAUGUGGUAUUUAAAGAAAAAUGCACAAUCUACAUUAAACAAUAACUUUUACUUCAUCGGUUACCAAAUGACGAGGAAAUGAGCUUUCGUUGUUUAAAAGUAAACGAAAAAGAACAGAAAGAUGUAUCAUCAACAACAUUCCAUGUACUUUGAAUAACAAGAUCAACUGAUCCUUAUAUCCUUAUUAAUGGUGAAGGUACAGGACAGUGGAAGUGGAUGGGCUAUCUCUUUUACUAACCAUCGUUAACCCGCGGUCGCUUCUAAUUAUUCGACAAAACAUAUCCCUCGUUUACAUGGCUAAUAUCAACUAAUCUGUAAUAUAAAAUGCAGCAUAACAAGACAACAUCACUCGCUUGCAAAACGUAAACUUCCAAACGUGACUGUGGACAUCGUUUAGGCAAGACUAUUUGUGGCUACUAGCCUUGGAACAACCUUUCUUAGAACCAUAAAUCAACGAACCUCACAGCACUUACACAGACAUUUGUUGAAAGACGAAAUUGUUCUAAACGGAAAGUAUCGCUUUGCACCUGAAAUUUACACACCUUCAAAGGGGAUUAAAACGCGAAUCACACACAAACACAUAAACACAACCUGCUGCUUAAACGCCAGCCUAAAGCAUUACACGGGAAAUUGGAGGCCUAUACACGAUAAGAUGCGUCUGAAUCCGCCCGGUAGUGACGCUCCGUUCAAUGGACAGCGUUUGAGCAGAUUUAUGGACAUGGAUGACGAUAUGAAGCGCAUCAAGU